rnacentral:rRNA from 1 species
AUGAACGCUGGCGGCGUGCUUAACACAUGCAAGUCGAACGAAGCACUUUAUUUGAUUUCCUUCGGGACUGAUUAUUUUGUGACUGAGUGGCGGACGGGUGAGUAACGCGUGGGUAACCUGCCUUGUACAGGGGGAUAACAGUUGGAAACGGCUGCUAAUACCGCAUAAGCGCACAGCAUCGCAUGAUGCAGUGUGAAAAACUCCGGUGGUAUAAGAUGGACCCGCGUUGGAUUAGCUAGUUGGUGAGGUAACGGUCCACCAAGGCGACGAUCCAUAGCCGACCUGAGAGGGUGACCGGCCACAUUGGGACUGAGACACGGCCCAAACUCCUACGGGAGGCAGCAGUGGGGAAUAUUGCACAAUGGGCGAAAGCCUGAUGCAGCGACGCCGCGUGAGCGAAGAAGUAUUUCGGUAUGUAAAGCUCUAUCAGCAGGGAAGAUAAUGACGGUACCUGACUAAGAAGCACCGGCUAAAUACGUG